rnacentral:rRNA from 1 species
AAUAGAUACCCAGGUAGUCCACGCCGUAAACGAUGGAUACUAGCUGUUUGAGCGCAAGUUUGAGUGGCUAAGCGAAAGUGAUAAGUAUCCCACCUGGGGAGUACGGGCGCAAGCCUGAAACUCAAAGGAAUUGACGGGGGCCCGCACAAGCGGUGGAGCAUGUGGUUUAAUUCGAUGAUACGCGAGGAACCUUACCAGGGCUUAAAUGUAGAUUGACGUAUUUGGAAACAGAUAUUUCUUCGGACAAUUUACAAGGUGCUGCAUGGUUGUCGUCAGCUCGUGCCGUGAGGUGUCAGGUUAAGUCCUAUAACGAGCGCAACCCCUGUUGUUAGUUGCCAGCGAGUAAUGUCGGGAACUCUAGCAAGACUGCCAGUGUAAACUGUGAGGAAGUGGGGAUGACGUCAAAUCAUCACGGCCCUUACGUCCUGGGCCACACACGUGCUACAAUGGCCGGUACAGAGAGCAGCCACUUAGCGAUAAGGAGCGAAUCUAUAAAGCCGGUCACAGUUCGGAUCGGAGUCUGA